rnacentral:rRNA from 1 species
CCUACGGGUGGCAGCAGUCGAGAAUUAUUCACAAUGGGGGAAACCCUGAUGGUGCGACGCCGCGUGGGGGAAUGAAGGUCUUCGGAUUGUAAACCCCUGUCAUGUGGGAGCAAAUUAAAAAGAUAGUACCACAAGAGGAAGAGACGGCUAACUCUGUGCCAGCAGCCGCGGUAAUACAGAGGUCUCAAGCGUUGUUCGGAAUCACUGGGCGUAAAGCGUGCGUAGGCUGUUUCGUAAGUCGUGUGUGAAAGGCGCGGGCUCAACCCGCGGACGGCACAUGAUACUGCGAGACUAGAGUAAGGGAGGGGGAACCGGAAGUCUCGGUGUAGCAGUGAAAUGCGUAGAUAUCGAGAGGAACACUCGUGGCGAAGGCGGGUUCCUGGACAUUAACUGACGCUGAGGCACGAAGGCCAGGGGAGCGAAAGGGAUUAGAUACCCUGGUAGUC